rnacentral:sRNA from 1 species
GCUCGUCUGAAACAAAUGAUUUGAGUAUGUUUCGGUGAUAACUCAGGUCGUCGUCGACAAUGAACUUGACUUAGAACACAAGAAACACGAUCUACUGAGAGCUGUUCAAGACACUCAACGAGGACUCACUGCCACUUCUGAUCAACGAUCUAUCAUUGAGGAGGCUCUGGUACAGCCAUUGCAUUGGAUA